CUUGGUCAUUUAGAGGAAGUAAAAGUCGUAACAAGGUCUCCGUAGGUGAACCUGCGGAGGGAUCAUUACCGAGUGAGGGCUUCGGCUCGACCUCCAACCCUUUUGUUGACCAACACCUGUUGCCUCGGGGGCGGUCCGGACCUGGCUUUGGCGUCGGGUUGUCGGAGCCCCCAGAGGACCAUUUAAACUCUGUGUCUUUACGUCGGAGUCUUGAUUAAAUCAAUUAAAACUUUCAACAACGGAUCUCUUGGUUCUGGCAUCGAUGAAGAACGCAGCGAAAUGCGAUAAGUAAUGUGAAUUGCAGAAUUCAGUGAAUCAUCGAAUCUUUGAACGCACAUUGCGCCCUUUGGUAUUCCGAAGGGCAUGCCCGUUCGAGCGUCAUUAAACCACUCAAGCCUGGCUUGGUAUUGGGCGUCGGGAUGUCCCCGCGCCCCAAUUUCACCGGCGAGACUUCCGAUCGCGAGCGAUAUGAUAUUCAACUCGCAAAGCGAUCUGGCAAUGUUUCCGCCGUUAAACUUCAAUCAAAGGUUGACCUCGGAUCGGGUAGGGAUACCCGCUGAACUUAAGCAUAUCAAUAAGCGGAGGAAAAGAAACCAACAGGGAUUGCCUUAGUAACGGCGAGUGAAGCGGCAACAGCUCAAAUUUGAAAUCUGGCGCAAGCCCGAAUUGUAAUUUGGAGAGGAUGCUUCUGGGUAGCGGCCGGUCUAAGUUCCUUGGAACAGGACGUCACAGAGGGUGAGAAUCCCGUAUGUGACCGGUUGGCACCCUCCACGUAGCUCCUUCGACGAGUCGAGUUGUUUGGGAAUGCAGCUCUAAAUGGGAGGUAAAUUUCUCCUAAAGCUAAAUACCGGCCAGAGACCGAUAGCGCACAAGUAGAGUGAUCGAAAGAUGAAAAGCACUUUGGAAAGAGAGUUAAAAAGCACGUGAAAUUGUUGAAAGGGACGCGCUUGCAACCAGACUUGUCGACGGUGUUCCGCCGGUCUUCUGACCGGUCCACUCGCCGUCUACAGGCCAGCAUCGUCUGGAGUCGCUGGAUAAAGGUGCGAGGAAUGUAACUCCCUCGGGAGUGUUAUAGCCUUGCGCGCAAUACGGCGUACUCUGGGCGAGGUCCGCGCUUCGGCUAGGAUGCUGGCGUAAUGGUCGUAAGCGGCCCGUCUUGAAACACGGA
rnacentral:rRNA from 1 species